ACAGGCCCUGCUUUUGUGGGAUGCUCUUAGUGAUCGAACGGAGGAGAAACACGUGAGUAACCUGCCCUUGACUUUGGGAUAACUUCAGGAAACUGGGGCUAAUACCGGAUAGGAGCUCCUGCUGCAUGGUGGGGGUUGGAAAGUUUCGGCGGUUGGGGAUGGACUCGCGGCUUAUCAGCUUGUUGGUGGGGUAGUGGCUUACCAAGGCUUUGACGGGUAGCCGGCCUGAGAGGGUGACCGGCCACAUUGGGACUGAGAUACGGCCCAGACUCCUACGGGAGGCAGCAGUGGGGAAUAUUGCACAAUGGGCGGAAGCCUGAUGCAGCAACGCCGCGUGCGGGAUGACGGCCUUCGGGUUGUAAACCGCUUUCGCCUGUGACGAAGCGUGAGUGACCGUAAU
rnacentral:rRNA from 1 species